rnacentral:rRNA from 1 species
UACGUAGGUGGCAAGCGUUGUCCGGAUUUACUGGGCGUAAAGCGCGCGCAGGCGGUUUCUUAAGUCUGAUGUGAAAGCCCACGGCUCAACCGUGGAGGGUCAUUGGAAACUGGGGAACUUGAGUGCAGAAGAGAAAAGCGGAAUUCCACGUGUAGCGGUGAAAUGCGUAGAGAUGUGGAGGAACACCAGUGGCGAAGGCGGCUUUUUGGUCUGUAACUGACGCUGAGGCGCGAAAGCGUGGGGAGCAAACAGG